UGGCAGCUAUAUAUUCUGCAAUCGCCAGGCUUGAUGUUAGACCGGGUGACUCAAUUCCAAAAAGGUUGACAAGACCAGGCAAUUGAUGACUAUCUUCUCCUUGAAUUACAAAGUCAAUAUGAGAUUGUCCAGGACCAGUAAUUUUUGGUCGAAUCCCUGCGUAACCAGGCACCAACGAUCCAUCCCUCAGAUUUGGAUAGUACUUUCUUAUCUCUGGGUAAAAUCUCUCUGCACGACUAGCACUAACAGAAUAGUCAUACUUAUCUAGAAAGCUUGAUUUAUCAUCUACACCAUGAAUCCACUCAACAUCUGGGCCAAACUUAAUCUGGCCAUCCAAAUCCAGAGUAACAUGCACUCCAAGGCCUCCAUCCUCAGGUAUAGGGUAUAUCAAAUGCUGGAAAGGAGGGACUCUAGUAUUCGAAAGGGUGAAAUAGCAACCGCGAGCAUAAUGUGCUGGAGGAAUUAUACCACUAUUGAGGCCAUUAAAUCUCCUUGCAAGAGGAAGGGCACUCAAUCCUGCAGAGUUCACAACAAGCUUAGGAAUAAGGAUAAGCUCCAGGGGCAAUGUAGACUUUCCAUCCCAGCUGUCAAGAUGAUUGCUUCCCACUAUAUGAAGAUGCAGACGGUUAUCCUCAAGAUGGCCACUAAUGACUGUAGAAUUGUAAGAGAAGGUUGCCCCAUGACUUUCAGCUUCUCCCAUUAAAGACAGCAUAAGAGAAUGCACAUCAACAAUCCCAGAAAAAGGGGACAAUAAAGCCUUGAGGCAUUGCAAUUGAGGUUCCAUUUUCAUGGCUUCAAAACCCUCCAACAUCCUCAAGCCAUCCACC
rnacentral:misc_RNA from 1 species